UACGUAGGGUGCGAGCGUUAAUCGGAAUUACUGGGCGUAAAGGGCGCGUAGGCGGCAAUUCAAGUCAUCUGUGAAAUCUCCGGGCUUAACCCGGAACGGUCAGAUGAUACUGCUUUGCUAGAGUGCGGAAGGGGCAAUCGGAAUUCUUGGUGUAGCGGUGAAAUGCGUAGAUAUCAAGAGGAACACCUGAGGUGAAGACGGGUUGCUGGGCCGACACUGACGCUGAUAGCGCGAAAGCCAGGGGAGCAAACGGG
rnacentral:rRNA from 1 species